AAUAAAGUGCCUGAUUAAAGGAUUAUUCUGAUAGGAUAAAUUAAGUAGAAUUAGUCCUUUAUUA
rnacentral:tRNA from 1 species